AAAAAAAAAUAAAAAUUUCGCUAGAUGGCGUUUGAUAUUUAAACGAGGAAAUGGAACGUGCUUCUCAGGCUUCGAGUGUCCGAAAAGUUUGCAUAUGCGAAAGACCGAAAGGAAUCAUUCUAUGUACAUUUUGCGGAAUGUUAGAAACGGGAAGAUUGAAAAAGUCGUGUGAAAUUCAUCCAAGAAUUUUGUAUUUGAUGGAUUGGGACAACAUGUGCCCUUAUUGCAAAGCACACAUGACUCUGGUAGAACAUGGCUUUCGUAAAAGAAUCCCAGACAUCAAAAUAUAUCUUAAAAACAAAUAAA